GGACUGUUAAGUCAAUGGUGAAAGUCUGUAGCUCAACUAUAGAAUUGCCAUUGAUACUGAUAGUCUUGAGUCCGGUUGAGGUAUGCGGAAUGUGUAAUGUANCGGUGAAAUGCAUAGAUAUUACACAGAACACCGAUUGCGAAGGCAGCAUACUAAGCCGUUACUGACGCUGAUGCACGAAAGCGUGGGGAGCGAACAGGAUUAGAUACCCUGGUAGUCCACGCUGUAAACGAUGAUCACUCGCUGUUGGCAAUACAUAGUCAGCGGCUGAGCGAAAGCAUUAAGUGAUCCACCUGGGGAAUACGUCGGCAACGAUGAAACUCAAAGGAAUUGACGGGGGCCCGCACAAGCGGUGGAACAUGUGGUUUAAUUCGAUGAUACGCGAGGAACCUUACCUGGGCUUAAAUGUAUAGUGCAUUCAUGAGAAAUCGUGAUUUCCUUCGGGACUCUUUACAAGGUGCUGCAUGGUUGUCGUCAGCUCGUGCCGUGAGGUGUCGGGUUAAGUCCCAUAACGAGCGCAACCCCUAUUGCCAGUUGCCAGCAUGUAAUGAUGGGGACUCUGGUGAGACUGCCGGUGUAAACCGUGAGGAAGGUGGGGAUGACGUCAAAUCAGCACGGCCCUUAUGUCCAGGGCUACACACGUGUUACAAUGGCCGGUACAGAGGGCAGCCACCUGGCAACAGGGCGCUAAUCCUAAAAGCCGGUCUCAGUUCGGAUCGGAGUCUGCAACUCGACUUCGUGAAGCUGGAAUCGCUAGUAAUCGCGCAUCAGCCAUGGCGCGGUGAUACGUUCCCGGGCAUUGUACACACCGCCCGUCAAGCCAUGGAAGCUGGGGGUGCCUGAAGUUCGUAACCGCGAGGAGCGA
rnacentral:rRNA from 1 species